AACGAACGCCGGCGGCAGGCUUAACACAUGCAAGUCGAGCGCCCCGCAAGGGGAGCGGCAGACGGGUGAGUAACGCGUGGGAAUCUACCCAUCUCUACGGAAUAACGCAUGGAAACGUGUGCUAAUACCGUAUACGUCCUUCGGGAGAAAGAUUUAUCGGAGAUGGAUGAGCCCGCGUUGGAUUAGCUAGUUGGGGGGGUAAAGGCCUACCAAGGCGACGAUCCAUAGCUGGUCUGAGAGGAUGAUCAGCCACACUGGGACUGAGACACGGCCCAGACUCCUACGGGAGGCAGCAGUGGGGAAUAUUGGACAAUGGGCGCAAGCCUGAUCCAGCCAUGCCGCGUGAGUGAUGAAGGCCCUAGGGUUGUAGAGCUCUUUCACCGGUGAAGAUAAUGACGGUAACCGGAGAAGAAGCCCCGGCUAACUUCGUGCCAGCCGCCGCAGUAAUAC
rnacentral:rRNA from 1 species